ensembl:lncRNA
UAUUUUAUUUAGUGAGGAGAACUCAGUAAAUUUGUCAGCAAAGUUGGCUGAUGCUAGCUUCAUUUCUUCCACCUCCAAAAAUUUUUGUCAAGUUUCCGCAGAACAAUGCAAAGUCACCAAAAAAGAUUUUUAAAAAACCCCUCGUAUUCCAUGUCAGUACGGCCUAAAAGUAUAUUUUGAGCUUCCUCCUGUUCUCUGUAAUAAAAUUACCGCAUUGUAAAACAUGUUCAUUCAUAGAAUCAAUUGGCUUCAACAAUCUUAAGCGUCUCUCAGUUGCCUAAGUUUCCACAAAUUACAUUUUGCACGUAAAACUUCAAGAGCUUCUUUAAUGAACCACCAUCAUAAUUGGCAUUUUCUUUCCACAAAUAUUGUGUAUGGUCAUGCUCUAAAUUCCAUCCCGUUAAGAGCUGGAUGAUUCAGCAUUUCCAGAAGAGCUUCUGAGAGUGAGGCUGGCAGUCAAAUGUAGGAAUCAAAGACAGCGUGUGUACCUUAAAGAAAACCCACUUCAACUCCUAUUUAAUAUUACUGAGAGCCAUCACAUUUCUCUUUGACAAGAUUGUUUGCCUAAAGGUUUCUUGAGAGAGAAAGCCAUGGGAUUAAUUUACUUCUGCCAUCAUGAUUGACUGCACAGCAGCUGUCAGGCAACUGAAGUGUCUCCAAUCUCCAUCGCAAAUUACUCUAAGUGGUUUUUAAAAUAAACUUGCCAAGCCUGUUAAUGCCUAGCAGCUCCGACAGGGAAAUGCACAAUUGACUUAAAUCAAAAACAAGUGGAUCCGUUUGGGGUCUUCCUAAUGAAACUGCCUUGGUGCCUUUUUUUGUUGAUGCUCAAGAAACCACAGAUAAAUCACGUAAUCUUGAAAAUAAGGAAACUGUUAUAUGCACACUUCUAUGUAGUUCAUGAUUUAGCAGCAUAAAGCUGAACUUGUCUAAAGCAACAGACUGCAAAGGAAGGCUACCAUAGGUAAAUGUUAAUCAAAAAUUUAGUCCCGUAAUGUUGUAAAUUCGUUUCCUUCAAUUGUUCUUAAUGCAGAUAAAUCCCAAGGAAGAGUAAUGUCUUUCUCUGCUCCACUUUUUCAGAGGCGCUCACUUGGUUUAAGAUGAAAAAGUUACGGUGACUGCCCUCCAGAGCGACAACCUAGAAAAAGGAGAGACGUGGUGGGAGAGCGAGAAGACGGCGGGUGCAGCGCCAGGAGGCUGUGGCACCAAGUAGCGCGACCUCGAAAUCAGAGUGCAGGACCCAGAACAGAGCGGCGGGUGCGGGACCGCAAAGCUUCGGUCACAGAAGAGACCUGUAUAUGUUUGUAGGUAAUUGGGAAGGACUCGGCAGAGGAGUAGGAUCUCAAAGUAGAGACACAGCUGAGGAGGAGGCGUGCACUCCUGAGAGAGGAAAAGACCGCUGUUAAACAGAAACAUGUUUGGUUUCAUCUGGGGACAUUGAUGUGAGCAUAAUACAUUCCACCCCUAUGCAGCGACAGGAAUGAAGAUAGAAAUGGAACGCAAGGCAUCCUGGUCCUUGCUCAUUAUGAUUCCGUAAAGUCCUGCCAUUUAGGAAAUGUGUCUCAAUUUCUGCGGAGAUGAAGCAGGAAGGUCAGACUGAGCUUUAAUCAAAGGUAUCUCCCUGCCGAGACUUUGGGCUUCACCACCAUGUGACUUGCUUUGAUCAAUGGAAUGUGAGUGGAUGUGAUAGUAUUCCAGUUCCUAAACGAGACUUUAUGAUGUGAUGUGUGUUACCAACUGCUUUCUUGCACUCCUGCUCUGCACCAAGAGAAUAUCCCAAGUAGGUGGCACUCUUUCGACUUUGGCCCUGGAAUGAAAAGACACAUGGAGCAGACCUGAACCUACCUGCAGCCUCGAUUAGAACUGUAGCAGCAAUGUGUGAUGAAAAGGAAGGAGAAAUAAAUGCUGGUUUUUGUAAGUCACUGAGAUUCUUGAGGUUAUUUGUUACACAGCAAAACCUAAUGAAAGCAGACUAAGAUGCUAAGUAAACAGAUCAGAGGCAAUGGACAACAUGCUUCUUCCAAAUGUAACAUAAACUGUCUUCAUAAUCCAAAGAGGACCACCAUGCCGUGUGUUGUGCCUUCUUCUCCAUGGUAAGGGACAGCAGAUAUAGAAUUGUCCUUUAGUUUGGAAAUAAUAUCCCAACAUAGUAUAAACCAUUCAUUUCACAGAAAUGUCAUAAUAUCCAACUGCAGAAUUUUUGUAGAAGUUAUCUCCUACUCCUUGAACCAAAACGUCUGAGAUAUCUCUCAUUUCCUUUAUCCCAGGCCCAUCACCUUGACAUCAUCAAUCUAAUAAACCCAGACAGUGCCUACU